GUCCACGCCGUAAACGAUGAUGGCUGGGUGUUGGCGAUACACCGUCAGCGCCUGAGGGAAACCAUUAAGCCAUCCACCUGGGGAGUACGGCCGCAAGGCUGAAACUCAAAGGAAUUGACGGGGGCCCCGCACAAGCGGAGGAACAUGUGGUUUAAUUCGAUGAUACGCGAGGAACCUUACCUGGGCUAGAACGCUUCUGGAAUGCUGCGGAAACGUGGCAGCCGGCAACGGCCGGGAGCGAGGUGCUGCAUGGUUGUCGU
rnacentral:rRNA from 1 species